UAAUACGUAGGGGCCGAGCGUUGUCCGGAGUUAUUGGGCGUAAAGCGCGCGCAGGCGGCUAAUCAAGCCCGACGUGAAAGCCCCCGGCUUAACCGGGGAGGGUCGUGGGGGACUGAUUGGCUUGAGGGCGGGAGAGGUCGGUGGAAUUCCCGGUGUAGUGGUGAAAUGCGUAGAGAUCGGGAGGAACACCUGUGGCGAAGGCGGCCGACUGGGCCGACCCUGACGCUGAGGCGCGAAGGCGUGGGGAGCGAACGGGAUUAGAUACCCCGGUAGUCCACGCAGUAAACGAUGCAGACUAGGCGUGGGUGGACUUGACCCCAUCCGUGCCGGAGCUAACGCGGGAAGUCUGCCGCCUGGGGAGUACGGCCGCAAGGCUA
rnacentral:rRNA from 1 species